rnacentral:misc_RNA from 1 species
AUCGACAUUUCGAACGCACAUUGCGGUCCUCGGAUACUGUUCCUGGACCACUCCUGGCUGAGGGUCGCAUCUACCAGACUGCCGGCAAUUUGUGUUUGAUCGCUCAGAUUGUCGCGCGAAUUUGAGAGUUCGCUCGGGUUCCCGCACGGGUCCUUCCGGCGUCUCUUUAAAUCACAGCACGGUCGUUUCCGAGCCCUCGCGGGCCAGGUACGGCUAUACGAGCGUCGGCGCCUUGCGCCCGUACGGUUCCGCGUUUGUCGCGAGGCCGCCCGGUUGACGUGUCCUAGACUACAUUGACUAGAAAGACGUCUGGCCGCGUGCGUGUCCGCGUGCGGAGCAACCUCAAACGUACGGAUGCAUUUUCGACGGUGCCGCGCGCNNNAANNUCUAUCAUGNNANCUNNGANCANGUGNNNNUACCCCNNAAANNU